GGAUUCCUGGCAGAGUGAUUU
rnacentral:miRNA from 2 species